rnacentral:rRNA from 1 species
UACGUAGGUGGCAAGCGUUAUCCGGAUUUAUUGGGCGUAAAGAGAACGCAGGCGGUCUUUUAAGUCUGAUGUGAAAGCCUUCGGCUUAACCGGAGUAGUGCAUUGGAAACUGGGAGACUUGAGUGCAGAAGAGAAGAGUGGAACUCCAUGUGUAGCGGUGAAAUGCGUAGAUAUAUGGAAGAACACCAGUGGCGAAAGCGGCUCUCUGGUCUGUAACUGACGCUGAGGUUCGAAAGCGUGGGUAGCAAACAGG